GUCUACACCUCGGGGGGCCGCGCUGGCUGAGAUGUUGAAAGACGGACCCGUAGAACCUGAACCGGUUAAAACCGGCGGAGGGAAGGUGACGGGCCAGAAU
rnacentral:ncRNA from 2 species